AAGUCGUAACAAGGUUUCCGUAGGUGAACCUGCGGAAGGAUCAUUACAGAGGUUUAUCCUUAUUCUGUGAAUUUUAUAUCUGGUGUGUAUGUUUGUGAGUGCGAGCGAGUGCGGAGCACGAGUCGAUAUCAAUUGUGAAAGCGAUGAGUCGAACCACCCGUUCGACACCAAACAUAUGCACCAAACACUUUAUAUCAAUUUUUGUCUGAAGAAAAGAAAUGAAAAA
rnacentral:misc_RNA from 1 species